CCCAAGUUCAAUCCCCAGUACCAAAAAAAAAAUUCUUAAUUACGGUGGCAUAUACACAACAUAAAACUGACAAUCUUGGCCAUUUUUGUUUCAUUUUGUUUUUUGGUACCAGGAAUCCAACUGGGGACCUUGCGCUUUUGAGGCAGGGGCCAGAACCACUCAGCUAAAUCCCCGGCCCAAUCUUGUCCAUUUUUACGUCACAGUUCCGUAGUACCAAGUACACUCACUUUGUCCAGCCAUCAUCACUGUCCUUUUCCAGAACCUUUGAUCUUUCAAAACUAAAACUCUGUACCCAUUAAACAACAGAUCCUCAGACCCUCUUUCCCCAGUAAAAGAAGUUUUACCAUUUCCUCUGAAUAAAUGGGAAAAUGCCCAGGCUCCAGUAAAGUCAGAAUUUGUCCGUGAUCACGAGGCUGGGUUCACCGGCAGGAGGUGGAGUUGCAAUCCUCAGCACGGAGCACUGCACGUGGCCUGAGGAGGGACGAGUGGACCUUGCCAAGGGACUCAGCAGCGUGUGCAGCAAGACUGAGCACUUCCGACAGGUAAGAGGGCGCGUGGGCCCAGUCUACUCUGUCCCUAGCCAGGGACAGUGAGGGGGGUGGGGACGAGGAGCCCUGUGUCCUUCCUCUGCGGCUCCAGGACACAGCUGACCCCCCCACCCGGCCACCGUAAUCAUUCUCAACCAAGGGCUCUGCCUGAGCAGAUUCAUUGGUCAUCUUCUCCAUUGGCGGACGGACGAGGCUUUUAUUGAUUUGCUUGUGGAAGCAAGAGAGAGGGCCGGUGCUGUGACACAGAAGCCACUAGCC
rnacentral:lncRNA from 1 species